rnacentral:rRNA from 1 species
UUCGCAAUGCCCGAAAGGGUGACGAAGCGACGCCGCGUGUGGGAAGAAGGCCUUCGGGUUGUAAACCACUGUCAGGAGUUAAGAAAUGUAAGGGUGCUAAUAGUAUCCUUACUUGACUAAGGCUUCAGAGGAAGCCACGGCUAACUCUGUGCCAGCAGCCGCGGUAAUACAGAGGUGGCAAGCGUUGUUCGGAAUUAUUGGGCGUAAAGAGCACGUAGGCGGUUCUGCAAGUCGGCUGUGAAAGCCUUCCGCUCAACGGAAGAACAGCAGUUGAUACUACAGGACUAGAGUGCGGGAGGGGAGAGUGGAACUUCUGGUGGAGCGGUGAAAUGCGUAGAUAUCAGAAGGAACGCCGGCGGCGAAAGCGACUCUCUGGCCCGUAACUGACGCUGAGUGUGCGAAAGCUAGGGGAGCAAACGGGAUUAGAUACCCCGGUAGUCCUAGCCGUAAACGAUGGGCACUAAGUAGAGGGGUUUU